GAUGAACGCUGGCGGCGUGCCUAAUACAUGCAAGUCGAGCGAACAGACGAGGAGCUUGCUCCUCUGACGUUAGCGGCGGACGGGUGAGUAACACGUGGAUAACCUACCUAUAAGACUGGGAUAACUUCGGGAAACCGGAGCUAAUACCGGAUAAUAUAUUGAACCGCAUGGUUCAAUAGUGAAAGACGGUUUUGCUGUCACUUAUAGAUGGAUCCGCGCCGCAUUAGCUAGUUGGUAAGGUAACGGCUUACCAAGGCGACGAUGCGUAGCCGACCUGAGAGGGUGCUCGGCCACACUGGAACUGGGACACGGUCCAGACUCCUACGGGAGGCAGCAGUAGGGGAUCUUCCGCAAUGGGCAAAAGCUUGACGGAGCAACGCCGCGUGAGUGAUGAAGGUCUUCGGAUCGUAAAACUCUGUUAUUAGGGAAGAACAAAUGUGUAAGUAACUAUGCACGUCUUGACGGUACCUAAUCAGAGAGCCACGGCUAACUACGUG
rnacentral:rRNA from 1 species